rnacentral:RNase_P_RNA from 1 species
GAAGUCGGCUGGACCGCCGCUGGCACAAGCAGGGAAACCUGGUGCUGGAGGAACGUCCGGACUGCGCAGGGCAGCGUAGGAGGUAAUACCUCUCCACCGCGAGGUGAGGAUCAGAGCAACAGAGACGAGUCACUUUGGGGCCAUGCCCAGGGCGCAAGCCCGAGGCAAGGGCUUCAAGGUGGGUGAAACGGGCAAUCUCUACGCGCAGCAACACCAAAUAGGCACACGAUGACGGGGCCCCCGAGUGUGCGGGUAGGUGGCACCGAGCCGCACGGGUAACCGGCGGCCCAGAUGAAUGGCGGUCACGUCAUGGGCAACCGUGAUGCACAGAAUCCGGCUUACAGGCCGACUUCACAC